UGUGUCUGUGUGUGUGUGUGUGUCUGUGUGUGUGUGUGUAGAGGGGGAAACGGCCACUGAACCUAGCAGAGAAAAACAGAAGGGGGAAAGUGUCUGCAUACAAUUGUAAGCAGCCCUGAAACUGUCAGCAGGAAAUCGACACAGAAGCCUUGAUUGGAACUAGGACCCCACUCCACAGUUGUCAUUUCUUUAGGAUAGAACUGGGAGCCAGUGUGGUGUGGUGGUUAAGAGCGGUAGACUUGUAAUCUGGUGAACCGGGUUCGCGUCUCCGCUCCUCCACAUGCAGCUGCUGGGUGACCUUGGGCUAGUCACACUUCUCUGAAGUCUCUCAGCCCCACUCACCUCACAGAGUGUUUGUUGUGGGGGAGGAAGGGAAAGGAGAAUGUUAGCCGCUUUGAGACUCCUUCUGGUAGUGAUAAAGCGGGAUAUCAAAUCCAAACUCCUCCUCCUCCUCCUCCUCCUCCUCCUCCUCCUCCUCCUCCUCCUCCUCCUCCUCUUCUUCUUCUUCUUCUUCUUCUUCCUCCUCCUCCUCCUCCUCCUCCUCCUCCUCCUCCCUGUUUAAAAGGAGGCAUGGGGAAUCUUCUAUAGCCCAAGGACCAAGUAUUCUUGUGAAUAAACUCCCAGUGGUUUGCUGGUGCCAGGGUUAAAAGUGGGUAAAGCCAGAGUCAAACCUGGGUGGGACAAUGGAUAUGAAUCUGAUAGUAGGCUACAUUCUACCUAUGCAAAAGUCAGAGAUUCACACACACACACACACACACACACACACACACACACACUUACACUUCAAUUCUCUUUCCAGGUAAGCAAGAGACAUCGCCAUAGUCUGACGAUGUUGGCGUUUGGUACCUAUAUUUUGAAGAAAUAAAUAGUCUGGUAAGAUUGCUGGCUGGAGGAAUAAAGAAGGCUUAUUACUUUUGGCAAACAAAGCCAUACUAAGUACAAGCUUUCUGCGGGCAUCACAGAAGAGGAAGGUUUAAUGCUAACUGAGGGGGAAGGAAGGAAGUAAAGCCAGAGAGAGAGAGAGAGAGAGAGAGAGAGAGAGAGAGAGCAAUCUAAAAGUAGUUACUCAAGAAGGAAUCAGUAAGGAAAAAUAGGUUGCCUUUCUGUCUAUCUCCCCCAACUGGUCCAGGCAACGUAUUACAAGCAUUGCUGCUUUACCCCCAACAUAAGACUGAUUCCAACCAGCCAAAAGCAGCCGAGGAGAGUCCCAAGAGUUAGAGAGAGAGGCCUGGCAGGCCAGAUUCUGCUCAUGGGAUGGAGGUUCCCCACCCCUAUUAGAAAGCAUGAAUAAUGUAAUGUGUAAUUUGGCCGUCACUCGAAUUGCAAGGGAGGUAUUUCUUCUUGAACAGCUGAUUGCAAGAAGCCGCUUCACCACCUAAAACAAACAGGCCUCUCCUAAUAAAUAAACCUGACUUGCUUGCCAUGAGAUUGGAGCCUGCCACAAUCUCCAGGGAAGGAUUAUGAACAACGUGUUAACAGCUCAAAACAUUUACAUCUUGCCG